AAAAGAAAUGACGUUUGUUAGUAUCGCUAAAACUCGAGAGAACAGCUAAACCGAUUUGGCUAACUUUAAUUAGAAGUCUUGUAGAAGUCCAAGGAACUUUUAAACGAUUUCCAGUUCAGUGAAGUGCACCAAACAGAGAAUAUAUUAUGCCGAGUUUGUCGAGAGACGAAACAUCAGCAGCGCAGAAAUACGUUGACAGAUUGCUUGCAGAAGGAAGCGAAGUGAGCUGCGAUGAAACAAACGCGAACUUCUUCGGAAACAACGAACUGCCGCCUUUUUACGACGAGGAACUUUUCAAAAGGGGUCAGAGAGUCUUCGAUAAACACAUAUUCGCGAUGAUGUUCGCCAAAAUUCAAGGCCUGCUGGCGGUUCUCUUAAUUCCCACCAUUCGGAGAAUGUUGGUUUUCACGAAAAUGUCCGGAAGUGACCUAAUGGCCUACAAGAGGUAUUUGGCCACCACUUUUCAUAUGGUGGUAUGGUAUCAGAAUGACUUCAAACCAGGAUCCAACAUUUCUCCCAAUUUUUUUUCAGAUUGUGGAAUUCCAUAUCAGAAGUGAGGAACAUGCACAAUUCAGCAAGCAAAAGAGGUUGCGAGGCUAAUAUUAGUAGGAUAUCCCAAAAAGACAUGGCUCUGACUCAGUUCGGCUUCAUGGGCUUCGCCCUAGCGAGAGCUGAAAAAGUUGGAAUUUAUGGAGUCACAGAAGAAGAAUGGGCCGGCUUCCUGCAUGUUUGGAGGGUUGUCGGAUAUUUGAUGGGAAUGGAAGACAGGUUCAACCUAUGUACCGGUUCUGUGAAGGAAACCAAGGAAAUCUGCAAUAUCCUCAUGGAUCAAGUAUUUCGUCCAGAAAUCAAGAAUAAAGACCAGGAUUUCUUGUCUAUGUCGCGCUAUCUAUUGAGAGGGAUGUGGGCUUUAAAUCCCGCCAUAGGAGUAGACUGUUUUUUGAUUUACCUCUACGCACUGAUUCAGAACGAUAAUGUGAAUUUCUUUCCUGUUUUGGAAUAUCAAAAAUUGGGUUCCGCCCAAAAAUUUCAUUUACACUUUUUACAGCUCAGCAUGUUUCUGUUACAAUUCGAUGGUUUUAGAAUUUUUGAGAAGUAUGUGAUGUAUCUGUCUCUGUGGCUGAUGAAAGUAUUUCCUUUCUUGGCUUUUUAUAUGUUUGGUAGAUCUAAUUCGUACGUGAAAAUAAAAUGUUGAAAAUGUAA
rnacentral:misc_RNA from 1 species